rnacentral:lncRNA from 1 species
AUGCCCCCGGUGUCACCGUGGUGUCCCCACAGACGGUGCCGUGUUCCCGCCGGUGCUGGCCCUGUGACCGGAUCCCCCGCGAGGAGCAGCACCGGGAGCAGACCGGACACGGCACCGGGAGCAGACCGGACACAGAGCGUGGAACUGGAACCAGCAGCGGGCCCGGGGCUGUCCCCGACCCGCCCGACCCCGCCCCGGGCCCGGUGCCCCGGGGCUCCCCUUCCUUUCCCUGCCGGUACCGGGAAGCACUGCCCGACCCCCGCCCCGCUCGCCCGCCGGACCGGGCGCCCUCAUAAAGCAGCCUCGGACCCCCGUGCCACCGUGUGCUCCUUGGCUCCGGGGGGCGGCAUCGGCACCAGGGGCACCGGGCGGUACCGGGAUUGGGGCAUGGCACAAAGGAUCGGGGUUGGGGUCGGGAGCACGGCACGGAGGAGCCGAAUCGGCACCGGGACCGGGACCGGGAGAGGAGGGGAGGAGGAAGGAUCGGGUACAGAGCAAAGAGCGGGGCUGGCACCGGGGACACGGCAGGAAUUACCGGCACCGGGGCUGGGACAUAGUGCAGAGGAGCCAGCCCGGGGCCGGCACCGGGGACACGGCAGGAAUGACCGGGACCGGGCUCGGAACGGGACCGGGGCACGGCAGGACAGACUGAGACCCGGGCAUAGACGAGGCUGGCACCGGGGGUGCGGCAGGAAGGACCAAAGUUCGGUCCGGGACUCAAAUCGGGGGCACAGCAGGACGGAUCGGGACCGGACCGGGGACACGGCAGGACGGACCGGGACCAGAGCAGGACGGAUCAGGACCCAAACGCGGUCUGGGGCUCAAACCGGGGGCACCUCACGACGAACCCCGUCCCGGUCCCGCUCCCAGGUCGCGGCUAAACCGGGGAGGGGGCGUGGCCAGACAGCUCCAGUGGGCGGAGUCGCAUCGGGCCCCGCCCACUCGGGGCCGAGCGCCACGCGGCCGGGCCCUGGCAACGACGGGGCCCUCGGCGCCCGUCCGGGGCUGCCCUCGGCGCCGCCUGCUCGCGGGACGGUCCCGCCGCGGCUCUCGGAGCCGCCCCUUCUGGUCUGA